rnacentral:rRNA from 1 species
UACAGAGGGUGCGAGCGUUAAUCGGAAUUACUGGGCGUAAAGCGCGCGUAGGCGGCUUUGCAAGUCGGGUGUGAAAUCCCCAGGCUUAACCUGGGAACUGCAUUCGAGACUGCAUUGCUAGAGUAUGGGAGAGGGAAGUGGAAUUUCCGGUGUAGCGGUGAAAUGCGUAGAUAUCGGAAGGAACAUCAGUGGCGAAAGCGACUUCCUGGACCAAUACUGACGUUCAUGUGCGAAAGCGUGGGGAGCAAACAGG